CAAGACAGCCGGGCAGCCGCUGUCUCCGGCACCUUGGUCCUGUAACGGGACGAAAAGUGGCGGAGGGGGAGGAAAGUCCGGGCUCCGAAGGACAGGGUGCCAGGUAAUGCCUGGGGGGCGAGAGCCUACGGAAAGUGCCGCAGAGAGCAGACCGCCGGUCUGGAGUCUUUUCCGGCCGGUAAGGGUGAAAGGGUGCGGUAAGAGCGCACCGCAUGGCUGGCAACAGUCCAUGGCAGGGUAAACCCCACCCGGAGCAAGACCAAAUAGGAAUUCGUUGGCGUGGUCCGCGCUGAAUUCGGGUAGGUCGCUUGAGGUGCGCGGUGACGCGCAUCCCAGAUGAAUGGUUGCCAGAAGUUUCCCUUGAAACUUUACAGAACCCGGCUUACAGGCUGUCUUGUCGC
rnacentral:RNase_P_RNA from 1 species